GACGAACGCUGGCGGCGUGCUUAACACAUGCAAGUCGAACGAGUGUCGAACGGGUGAGUAACACGUGGGUGAUCUGCCUUGCACUUCGGGCUAAGCAUGGGAAACUGGGUCUUAUACAGGAUAGUGCAAGAUGAGCUUGCGGCCUAGCUGCUUGUUGGUGGGGGAAUGGAUACCAAGGCGCGACGGGUAGCCGGCCUGAGAGGGUGUACGGCGACAUAGGGCUGGGGAUACGGCCCAGACGCCUACGGGAGGCAGCAGUGGGGAGUAUUGCACAAUGGGCGGACGCCGGAUGCUGCGAUGCCGGGUGGGGGAUGAAGGCCUUUUGGUGGUGAACUCCUGUCGACAGGGACGCGGUACCUGUAUAAUAAGCACCGGCUAACUACGUGCCAGCAGCCGCGGUAAUAC
rnacentral:rRNA from 1 species